UACGGGGGGAGCAAGCGUUGUUCGGAUUUACUGGGCGUAAAGGGCGCGUAGGCGGUCACUACAAGUCAGUUGUGAAAUCUGCUGGGCCUUAACUCAGAACGGUCAACUGAUACUGGUUGGACGUAGAGUGCAGAAGGGGCAACUGGAAUUCUCGGUGUAGCGGUGAAAUGCGUAGAUAUCGAGAGGAACACCUGGCGGCGAAGACGGGUUGCUGGGCUGACACAUGACGCUGGAGGCGCGAAAGCUAGGGGAGCGAACGGG
rnacentral:rRNA from 1 species